rnacentral:tRNA from 3 species
GGGCUCAUAGCUCAGCUGGGAGAGCACCUGCCUUACAAGCAGGGGGUCACAGGUUCGAGCCCUGUUGAGCCCACCA